AGAGUUCCCAGCAUCCUUACUAGGUGAGUAAUGAAGGUUACUUCUCGGCAGGCCCAGGAACCUCAGGAUAUCUUGGGGACCUUGAGAAGAGAGGAAUGAACCCAAAUCUACAAGUAUUCCUGGCAGAGUCUGAUGUACUUGCCUUCUCUCUCUGUUAAUGCACAGGAAGACAGUGCUCCUGAACUCUGGCAACUAUCACUGAGUCUACUGCUAAGGCUAUAGCCACAUAACAAAAGUCUCUAGGCUUUCUGGCUGAGGCACUUUUAGAUAAUAGAAUUGCUUUAGAUCACUUGUUGGCUGAACAAGGAGUCGUCUGUGCAAUAGCAAGUACCUCCUGCUGUACCUGGAUCAGCACCUCUGGUAUUGUAGCAAAUAUAAGAAAUUAAACAAGCCACAUGGCUAAAGCAACAAGAGACCAUUAGACUGAGUUGGCUUUAUGCUGUAGUGGCCUACAUAAGCAAACCAAAAUCUAAGCCUGUAAAUGCCUCAAGGUUACGAAAUUGAAACCUAAGGAUAACCAAUCACAAACAGCUAACUAAGCUUUAAGUUACAGCUGACCAAUAAUUUCCUUACUUUGCUUCCACUUUUCUCUAUAAAGCUUCUCCCCAAGCUCCUGUAUGUGGAGCACUCCUAACCACUUCUGGUUUGGUGCCGCCCAAUUCAAGCUGAUUUUUGCCCAAAUAAAUUCUUACCAUUUUUAAUAUGCUUCAGUUUCUCUUUUAACAGUAUGCUUAAGGCAGGGGGUGGAGCACCAGAAUCCUGAUACCUUUGCCUCUGCUGUUCCUCCAGGAGGUCCUCGGGACAUGCUUAUUUUACAGAAGAAAAUAUACAACUCUCCCAGAGUUGGGAGGUACAUUUCCUGGGCUACAAAUGGCAAUCUUCAGUAAGUUCAGCCUAUUUGUAUGACCUUUUGUGUAUUGACUAAAGAUUCAGGUUGGUAAUUUGGAGUUACAGGCCCCAUUUUAAUUGCAUUUUUUUACACUUGAUUGCUGUAACUCCAAACACCUUCCAUGAAAGGUAUAUACUUGUGAUUUUAAUGAAACUUUUUUUCUUAUUGCAUUUUGGAAAUGAUUAAGGCUGAGUCUCCUAGAAAAUUACUGGGAUAAUUCAGCUCUCUUAUCCCAUUUCCUUCCUCUUCUCCACCCUCCACAUUAAAGAAGAAAGUCAAUGGGAAAUUGCCUUUGAUCUCCCCAGCACCAACAUUCCAAGUUUUAAACUAGAGUGUAUUUUAGGCCAAAGUGUGUUUUUCUUGUUUUAUCUGGAAAAUAUGCACAUAUUUAUGCAUGUUCCUUUUUAAAGAGUAAAGGGCUUCUCAGGCUUUUAAAACCAAACUCUAUAAUACCUUUUGAUUAAAGUGCUAGCAGAACCACAACUUAGUGGUUUGGGAAGAUGCUCUAUAAGUGUAAUGGUGGAAAAGAUUAUGCAAUUAUGUGAUGCUGGUGGUAAGGAUCAAACAAACCUUCAGCAGAAGGCAAACAUCCAAAAGAGAGAAGGUGAAUGCUUUUCAGAGGGUUGUUUGUAGUUAGUAACAUAUUCUAGAAAGCAUUUUUUAGUAAACAUCUGUAGAACUGAUUUUUUUGUGUGUGGGUGCUUGUUGCUCUUUCAAAGCACGGCUGUCUCUAUGAUUCUGAUCACAGGAUGAGAUGAGGCUGGGCUUUAUAUUGGUAGAGAGCUCUGAUGCUGAGGACCGGGGUCA